rnacentral:rRNA from 1 species
UACGGAGGGGGCCAGCGUUGUUCGGAAUCAUUGGGCGUAAAGGGCGCGUAGGCGGCCAAUCACGUCCGACGUGAAAUUCCCCGGCUCAACCGGGGGCCUGCGUCGGAUACUGCUUGGCUUGAGUCCCGGAGAGGGUAGUGGAAUUCCCAGUGUAGCGGUGAAAUGCGUAGAUACUGGGAGGAACACCGGUGGCGAAGGCGGCUACCUGGACGGGUACUGACGCUGAGGCGCGAAAGCUAGGGGAGCAAACAGG